UACGUAGGGUGCAAGCGUUACUCGGAAUUACUGGGCGUAAAGCGUGCGCAGGCGGUUCGCUAAGACAGAUGUGAAAUCCCCGGGCUUAACCUGGGAACUGCAUUUGUGACUGGCGGGCUAGAGUAUGGCAGAGGGGGGUAGAAUUCCACGUGUAGCAGUGAAAUGCGUAGAGAUGUGGAGGAAUACCGAUGGCGAAGGCAGCCCCCUGGGUCAAGAUUGACGCUCAUGCACGAAAGCGUGGGGAGCAAACAGG
rnacentral:rRNA from 1 species